rnacentral:misc_RNA from 1 species
GAUGAAGAACGUAGCAAAAUGCGAUAAGUAAUGUGAAUUGCAGAAUUCAGUGAAUCAUCGAAUCUUUGAACGCACAUUGCGCCCGCCAGUAUUCUGGCGGGCAUGCCUGUUCGAGCGUCGUUUCAACCCUCAAGCACAGCUUGGUGUUGGGACUCGCGUUAAUUCGCGUUCCCCAAAUUGAUUGGCGGUCACGUCGAGCUUCCAUAGCGUAGUAGUAAAACCCUCGUUACUGGUAAUCGUCGCGGCCACGCCGUUAAACCCCAACUUCUGAAUGUUGACCUCGGAUCAGGUAGGAAUACCCGCUGAACUUAAGCAUAUCAAUAAGCGGAGGA